rnacentral:rRNA from 1 species
UACGUAGGGGGCAAGCGUUGUCCGGAUUUAUUGGGCGUAAAGAGCGUGUAGGCGGCUAGGUAGGUCCGUUGUGAAAACUCGAGGCUCAACCUCGAGACGCCGGUGGAAACCAUCUAGCUAGAGUCCGGAAGAGGAGAGUGGAAUUCCUGGUGUAACGGUGAAAUGCGCAGAUAUCAGGAAGAACACCCGUGGCGAAGGCGGCUCUCUGGGACGUGACUGACGCUGAGACGCGAAAGCGUGGGGAGCGAACAGG